UGUAAUAUGAAACCUGUUCUACAAAGUCAUGACCUGCUCUACCCCUUAAAUGAUUGACCCUGACUCUUCCUCAAGUUUCUCAGAAAGAAAAGCAUGCCGUGGGUAUUUCUUCUAAACCUUUGACUGAUCCAUAGGUAAGUUCCAGGCAAAAGACUUGAUAUAAUACCAACCCACUUUAAGGUAAUUUCUCAGAAACCCAAGAAGCCCUGCUCUGAUUUACUCUGAUAUAACAAAUUCCCACCGUGACUUAGAAUUGAUCAAUUUUCUGAAACUGUGACAUCCCUCUGGAUUGUUACAGUUGAUUCAUUCAUAUUGUGGAAGCAAAAAUGGGUUCCUAUUACAUUGUAAAGCAAGAAGACUCUGGGGAUGGGUUUAAACUACUGGUGAUAUUGCUCUUGGCAAUGAUGUUUAUGAUGUUAUGUAUGAGUAAUCCCAGGCCUCGUCCACGUAGAGGGCAUUUUGUCAUCUGCACACCUGCUCAUUUGCAUUGACAGGAGAAAAAUUCAGGGGAUCUUGUGACAGUUUAGUUGAAAGGAUUUUCUGAUACUUUAAUAAAAGACAACCAGAGAGCUGUUAGUUACAGCCAUAGUGCUGUGGAUUCUUGUGGUCGUAUCUUUGCUCUUUGCUGAUCUUUAGGUUUCAUUGUUGUAUGCCGUCUUCUCUUUGUAAAAGGGUUUGGGCCCUUUCAAAAAGACCCUUUUUAUCUUCAAUAAUGAAAAGACAGAAAUUCCAGACA